ensembl:lncRNA
GGGGGGAUGCCUUCCUUAUCCUGGAUCUUGGCCUUGACGUUCUCGAUGGUGUCACUGGGCUCCACCUCCAGGGUGAUGGUCUUGCCGGUCAGGGGUCUUCACGAAGAUCUGCAUCCCACCUCUGAGGCGAAGGACCAGGUGCAGAGUGGACUCUUUCUGGAUGUUGUAGUCAGACAGGGUGCGCCCAUCUUCCAGCUGUUUGCCGGCAAAGAUCAGCCUCUGCUGGUCUGGGGGGAUGCCCUCUUUUUCUUGGAUCUUCCCCUUGACGUUCUCGAUGGUGUCACUGGGCUCCACCUCCAGGGUGAUGGUCUUACCAGUCAAGGUCUUCACGAAGAUCUGCAUUGUCUGUUGCAACAAAAAAAUUAACACAAAAAAUAACCCCAGCGUUUAACAGAUAAUUCAGAGGUCAACACAUACCUAAUGCUACAAAAUUAUAUGUCACUAUAUACUAACCAAAUGACUAACGUGCCCAAAAACUCAAAAGCUUGACAAAUAAGGUCACAGCCAACGUUUCACGCACUUAAGAAAGAAAAGCAGUCAAUUCGCGGGCCUCACUUACCCUCCCCCCCCACUGGCUGUCUGUCCCCUGCCAACACGGCAGCGACCACCCCAGGCCCAAACCCUGUGCCCCGAGAACAGAAAAACUCUCCCUCCACACAUACCAGCAGGCGGCCCCACCCUCGAUUACGAGCCCACGGAAGGGAUGACGUCUCGUAACCGCGUUGGCGAGCGGGUCCCCUCCCCCCUCGCGGGUGCAGGACGGCUCCGUGGCAUCGGCAGUUACUGUCCCCUUACUGGGACGGGAAACCGAGUUCUCGCUCGAGUCAAACCGUGACCUAAUGUUCGCUUCCCUCACACGCUGCCCAACCCCGUUCCCCAAAAAGCUGGGCCCCGCCGCCACGGAGGCCUCACGGGCCUCUCGCGUCUCUCGCGUUUCCGUUUCACCCGCAGUCCCCUCCCCCGUCCCCCAUCUUCUCUCUCCCACCUCAUAGCCCGCUUCGGAGUCCGGCUUCUCCCACCGAGGGACGGGAAACGGACGCCAUUUUGCCGCGUUCCUCCCUCUCAGGGCUACCCUGCUGCUAGCGGGCCCCGGGUGACUAAAGGCCUCGGCUGCUCCCUCUGCCGCAGCGGGCAAGUCGACACCCCGCGCCCCCCGCGGCCGCGAGACCCCCGGGCCCCCUCCUUACCAAACGGUGGUGACGGCAGCAAACGCAGAAAAACCGCAACUCGGCUUCCAAACUUCACGAAGAUGCCUGCGCACCGCUCCCGCCGGCGCUUCCUUAUAUAGGUACAGGUAGCGCCGCUCCGAUAGAUCCUUCCGCAGAAACGCCGAGAAGGGACUACUUUUCGCAGCCCUCCUGCCCUCUGAAGAGAAACCCCAGACUCAACUAAUUCCACUCAUAAAAUGCUCUCCUGUGAAGACUGGAGCUUUGGGGCCGAAUCUGGCGCGGAGCGGGCCGCCGUCCCGAGAGGCCUGGCGGAGGGAUCAGCGCGCUCGUUGAGCGCUGCGUCCGCGGACUUGCCCCGGGCUCGAAUUAAGGGGAGGGAGAGUGGGGGGCGGGCGGCCUGAAAACCCGGCGUGGAGUCGCUCAGACGUCCGGAGCGGGCCGUCUCCACCGCCCGGCCUUUAUGCCCCCUCCCCCCGGCCCGGACGGGCCCCGCCGUUCGCGAGGCCCGCCCUAGGCGUACAGGGCUCCGGCCGAGCGCCUCACACCGAGUCGGGGUCCCGCUUGCCCAGCGCACACCCCGCCC